UCCCUGGCAGUCUAGCGGUUAGGACUUGGCGCUUUCACUGCCCGGGCCUAGGUUCAAUCCCUGGCUGGGGAA
rnacentral:tRNA from 1 species